CUAAGAAACUUCAUCAUUUGGAAACAGUACUUUGUCAUAGGACUAAUGAUAUAAUUGUGGGUUAUCUUGCUGAUUCAACGUGAAAUGAUUCAUAGCUCUGACUAAAAACAUCAUAAAAGAAAAGCUUUUCCUCAGAGCUCAGAAAAGGUCAAACAGAAGCCACUGGCAAAAAGAAGAACCGAAGGACUCCAGUCAUUUGAAAGCCAGCUGAACGGUCAUCGGGAAAGCAUGCCACUACGCCAUGAGAAUACUCAAGCAGCCCAUGGAGAAGCCUAGAGCGGAUCAUGUGAAGCCUUUUGUCAACAAAUAGCAGAAGGUGAGUGAGUCAUCUUGGAAAGGAUCCUAAGCCCCAUGCAAGCCUUUAGGUGACUGUGGCCCUGGACGACCUCUGGACUAUAACCUCAUGAGAGACCCUGAGACAGAAUCACCCAGCUAACUGCUCCCAAGUUCCUGGCCUAUGGAGACUGGGAAGUCAUACAUGUUUAUCGUUACUUUGACCUGCUAUGAUUACAGUAAUUUGUUGUACAGCAAUAGAUACCUAAGACAAAGUCAACCAGUUAUUGUUCUUUCAAAGCCAUGCUUCCAGUGGUUAUUUUUUUCAUACCAAGCAC